AAACAUGUAGGCGCCGGGGUUUGAACCCCUUCCCUAUAGCUUAGGAUUAGUUGCUGCAAGCCAACUUGACUGUGGGCUUUGAGUUGUUAUUAUUGUACCAGUACAAUAUUUAUAGGCUUCUUGUAUUUAAUGCUUUAUAAAAUUUCUUAAACUUUACAAACCCUAGCCGUCUCACACUUUAUCUCACUUCCCAUUUCAGAUUUCAAACUCCUCCGCUGCGUCCUCUCUCUGCCUUUUGCUUCCUCAGCCCCUUCUCUCUCUCUCUCUCUCUCUCUCUCUCCUUCCUCUCUUCCUCCAAAUCACUCUCUCUCCAGUCUUCUCAUGUCCUCCUCACGGAUUCCUUCUUCCAAACCUUGAUUUUCCCUCGCCCCUUUCGAAUCAGAACCCCCUCUAAAUUGGAAGAUUCGAAUCCGGGUUUUCCGAUCUCUCACAGAUUUGUUCCAGUUCGUAUUCAUUUGCAGAUUUCUUCCAGUGCAGAUUUGCAGAUUUGUUACAGUUCAUAUUCAUUUGCACCAACACCCAAUAAGUUUCUGCAUCUUCAGUGCUCGCAACCAAUCGUUUCAGAUUUGUUCCAAAUUAAAAAAAAAAAAAUAUUAUGGAAAAAACCGAACCGGACUGAAACCGAACCGAAAAAAAUCAAAACCGAAAAAACCGAACCGAAAAAAAACCGAAAAAAUUCGAACCGAACUGAACCGAAAUUUCGGUUCGGUUUCGGUUUUGACUAAAAACCGAACCGUUUCAAACCGAACCCAGCCCUAAUUCAUUUUAUCUUUUAUUUUAUUUUUAUUAUUAAAACUCAAAAUUUUCAAGAUAUUUUCUUUAGUUUUUUUUAGAAUUAAUGAUUUAUAAUGUAACAGCCCGUUUUUAAAAUUGGUGUGGGACCCACCACAGUGUGGUGUUUGUAAACCGGCCCACUGUUUUUCUUCCCACUCUGUGAUCUCUCUUUGGAUCCCUCUCUCUCCAACUCUCUUCUCCUCUCAAACUCACUCUCUCUCUCUCUCUCUAGGAUGGGUGCCAAUCACCAUCAUCUUCAUCAUCUAAGCCAAAUUCGUCCCCCAAAUUACCGAAAUCACAACAUGUGGAGCUUGGUGAGCAACAUGCUGCCCUUGCAUGUGAGGAUCUAUGUUGGGUUAAGUAAAACUCACCACACCGAAUCAUUCCGACGAAUUUGAGUUCAAUCUUGAGGGAUUUAGACUUAAUCGAGCUCAUGAUCGUCUUCAAUGGUUUCCAGGAGUUAAAAGCGAGGCAUUCGAUCCCCGAGUCAGUGUACCUUUGCGUAGGUUUGCAUUCAUGAGAGUCGUGUGGAGAGCAAGUCUAACAACACUUUUGAUGACCAUCCGACCUCUGGACUUGGUAGUCCUUGCGUGAUCUAUGUGAUGGAACUUGAUAUUCCUUCAGUAAUGGAAAACGAUGGAAUUGUUUUAGAGUAUGCUGUGGACAAGGAGCUUGAAGAUGUGAGUAAAUUUCCACUUCUUUUAUGGUGACAAUGUGUGUGCAUUAUAAUUAAAGAAUUCAAACACCUAAAAAUGCAAGGCAUCAUUAUCUUCUGCCCAUAAUUUGAGCCGAUAACGCCAUUCCGUAUGAUUAUGCAUCGGUAAUUUAAGCUUAGAAGCUGAAUGACGAGUUGUAGCUAAGAAACUGAACAUCUGGUGUCUAUUUUGUUUAUACAGUUGCAUACUUUUUAAUUUUUUUUAAAUUUUUUAUGGUUACGUUGUUAUAACCACGUUGAUUCAAUUGUAAAUGAGUAUCAAUAUCUUCGCGUUGCAACAGGCCAUUUAAAGGAGUCUCUUGAUGAAAUUGUUGAAGAACUUCGAAGACAAGAGGGCACUACAUGCCUCUGCUUCUCCUUCACAGGCUUUGCCUUGUUGGCUGUUGAUUCAAGGGUCACCGGCCCUGACAUGUUAACAGUAUCAAAGAUCUCGGUUGUGAACAACUCAUUGCAUACCAAAAUAUGCCGCUGUGGGGAUCUAUAUGAAUCCGUUCUCUUGAUUGAAGGUAAAGAAGGAAAAAUGGAGCAUAAGAGGAGCCAUAAUCGUGUUGCAAGAGCCAGUAAAGAUUUCAACAAGCAUCAAAAUUUCAUGCUAUGUUUGCACCGGUCUUGGAGAAGCACAUUUGGUAUAUUAUAAUGUUGAAAAGAAUGGUGCAACAUCCCAUGGUUCUACGUAGUUGAGCUUGGGAUUGCAUGACAUGGGUUUCGGAACACCCGUUGCAAUGUCGGAGCUAGCUUAUAAAUUUUUGGGUAGACGAGAUGGAGUCUUGCGUAAUGCCUAUCUACGUCACUAUGGAAUAAAAGGGUCGCUUGUAGGUCAGUGAGGUGGAAGCCAUAGAGGCAGCGUGUGGAGCCCUAUACCUUGCAGGUCUUAAAAGCAUAAAAACUAGACCACCGUAUGAGGUGCAUGUGUUCCGUAGAGGAGUACCAAAUUACGAACGGACUGUGCUAUUAACAGACGUUUCUUAGAAGUAGUGGGAUAUAACAAAGAAGUUGGUAUGUGGAAAGAGAAAUAUGGCAGUGUUUUAUUCGAAGGCGUUACUCUGAGAGAACCUUUGGAAAAUGGUCACAACAAAGUACCCUUUUGUAGAUGUUUGUAGGCAAGGACACCCUCUUGCGCUUCUAGAAGGAGGAUAUAUUCUACAUGUGGUUAAACUUGGGAGUCUUGGUAGCAUCAAGAAAACGAUUCAACGUGCGGCGACGUCUAGUGUAAUUGUACUUGAGGAGUUUGUGGUGGAAAAUUCAUAUUACAUUGAAAUGCGAGUUUUCGAAUUGAGUUUCACAAAGACAAUGGUCAAGAGGAAGAGGAAGUUGACGUCGAAUGUUUAUAUUGGGAGGGCUGGAGACAAUUUGUUGGAGUGCCUAAAAGAAUCCAAUCACUAAUCCAAAAAGAAGGGAGAUCGACUAAUUUCUGAAUUUUCCACCGUAAACUCCGGAAGUACAAUUGCACUAGACGUCGUCGCACGUUGCAUCGUUUUCUCGAUGCUACCAGCACUUCCAAGUUUAACCACAUGUAGAACAUAUCCUCCUUCCAGAAGCGCAAGAGGGUGUCCUUGCCUACGAACAUUUACAAAAGGGUACUUUGUUGUGAUCAUUUUCCAAAGGUUCUCUCAGAGUAACGCAUUCGAAUAAAACACUGCCAUAUUUCUCUUUCUACAUACCAACUUCUUUGUUAUAUCCCACUACUUCUAAGAAACGUCUGUUAAUAGCACAGUUUGUUCGUAAUAUGGUACUCAUCUACGGAACACAUGCACCUCGUACGGUGGUCCAGUUUUCAUGCUCUUAAGACCUGCAAGGUAUAGGGCUCCACACGCCACCUCUAUGGCUUCCACCUCACUGACUUGCAAGCGACCAUUUUAUUCCAUAGUGACCGUAGAUAGGCAUUACGCAAGACUCCAUCUCGUCUACCCAAAAAUUUAUAAGCUAGCUCCGACAUUGCAACGGGUGCUUCGGAACCCAUGCCAUGCAAUCCCAAGCUCAACUAUGUAGAACCAUGGGAUGUUGCAUCAUUCUAUUCAACAUUAUAAUAUACCAGAUGUGCUUCUCCAGGGCCGGUGCAAACAUAACAUGAACUUUUGAUUGUUGAAAUCUUUGCAGGCUCUUACAACACGAUUAUGGCUCCUCUUAUGCUCCAUUUUUCCUUCUUUACCUUAAAUCAAGAGCAAGGAUUCAUAUAGAUCCCCACAGCGGCAUAUUUUGGUCUGCAACGAGCUGUUCACAACAGAGAUCUUUGAUACUGUUAACAUGUCAGAGCCGGUGACCCUUGAAUCAACAGCCAACAAGGCAAAGCCUGCGAAGGAGAAGCAGAGGCAUGUAGGUCCCUCCUGUCUUCGAAGUUCUUCAACAAUUUCAUCAAGUUUAACCACAUGUAGGAUGUAUCCUCCUUCCACAAGCACAAGAGGGUGUCCGUGCCUACGAACAUUUACAAAAUGGUACUUUGUUGUGACCAUUUUCCAAAGGUUCUCUCUGAGUAACACCUUCAAAUAAAACACUGCCAUAUUUCUCUUUCCACAUACCAAUUUCUUUGUUAUAUCCCACUGCUUCCAACGAAAAUUUGUUAAUAGCACAGUCCGUUCGUAAUUUGGUCCUGCUCUACGGAACACAUGCACCUCGUACAGUGAUCCAGCUUUCAUGCUCUUAAGACCUGCAAGGUAUAAGACUCCACACGCGGCCUCUAUGACUUCCUCCUCACUGACUUGCAAGGAGAGAGAGCUACGAGCAGUUGAAUGAGGCGCUUGGCGAUACAGAUCAUUCGUGUAUUGUCGAUUAUUUUUCUUGAGCAAUUUUAUAUAUUUGUUUCCUUUUGGUAAAGAUUGAUUGGAUUACAA